rnacentral:rRNA from 1 species
CCUACGGGAGGCCGCAGUGGGGAAUAUUGGACAAUGGGGGGAACCCUGAUCCAGCCAUGCCGCGUGUGUGAAGAAGGCCCUCGGGUUGUAAAGCACUUUCAGUGAGGAAGAACGCCUGGUGGUUAAUACCCAUCAGGAAAGACAUCACUCACAGAAGAAGCACCGGCUAACUCCGUGCCAGCAGCCGCGGUAAUACGGAGGGUGCGAGCGUUAAUCGGAAUUACUGGGCGUAAAGCGCGCGUAGGUGGCUUGAUAAGCCGGUUGUGAAAGCCCCGGGCUCAACCUGGGAACGGCAUCCGGAACUGUCAAGCUAGAGUGCAGGAGAGGAAGGUAGAAUUCCCGGUGUAGCGGUGAAAUGCGUAGAGAUCGGGAGGAAUACCAGUGGCGAAGGCGGCCUUCUGGACUGACACUGACACUGAGGUGCGAAAGCGUGGGUAGCAAACAGGAUUAGAUACCCGGGUAGUC